GGUUAAGCGACUAAGCGUACACGGUGGAUGCCCUGGCAGUCAGAGGCGAUGAAGGACGUGCUAAUCUGCGAAAAGCGUCGGUAAGGUGAUAUGAACCGUUACAGCCGGCGAUGUCCGAAUGGGGAAACCCAGUGCAAUUCGUUGCACUAUCGUUAACUGAAUACAUAGGUUAACGAGGCGAACCGGGGGAACUGAAACAUCUAAGUACCCCGAGGAAAAGAAAUCAACCGAGAUUCCCCCAGUAGCGGCGAGCGAACGGGGAGCAGCCCAGAGUCUGAAUCAGCUUGUGUGUUAGUGGAACGGUCUGGAAAGUCCGACGGUACAGGGUGAUAGUCCCGUACACCAAAAUGCACAGGCUGUGAACUCGAAGAGUAGGGCGGGACACGUGGUAUCCUGUCUGAAUAUGGGGGGACCAUCCUCCAAGGCUAAAUACUCCUGACUGACCGAUAGUGAACCAGUACCGUGAGGGAAAGGCGAAAAGAACCCCGGCGAGGGGAGUGAAAAAGAACCUGAAACCGUGUACGUACAAGCAGUGGGAGCACCUUCGGGUGUGACUGCGUACCUUUUGUAUAAUGGGUCAGCGACUUAUAUUCUGUAGCAAGGUUAACCGUAUAGGGGAGCCGCAGGGAAACCGAGUCUUAACUGGGCGUUAAGUUGCAGGGUAUAGACCCGAAACCCGGUGAUCUAGCCAUGGGCAGGUUGAAGGUUGGGUAACACUAACUGGAGGACCGAACCGACUAAUGUUGAAAAAUUAGCGGAUGACUUGUGGCUGGGGGUGAAAGGCCAAUCAAACCGGGAGAUAGCUGGUUCUCCCCGAAAGCUAUUUAGGUAGCGCCUCGUGAAUUCAUCUUCGGGGGUAGAGCACUGUUUCGGCUAGGGGGUCAUCCCGACUUACCAACCCGAUGCAAACUACGAAUACCGAAGAAUGUUAUCACGGGAGACACACGGCGGGUGCUAACGUCCGUCGUGAAGAGGGAAACAACCCAGACCGCCAGCUAAGGUCCCAAAGUCAUGGUUAAGUGGGAAACGAUGUGGGAAGGCACAGACAGCCAGGAUGUUGGCUUAGAAGCAGCCAUCAUUUAAAGAAAGCGUAAUAGCUCACUGGUCGAGUCGGCCUGCGCGGAAGAUGUAACGGGGCUAAACCAUGCACCGAAGCUGCGGCAGCGACACUAUGUGUUGUUGGGUAGGGGAGCGUUCUGUAAGCCUGCGAAGGUGACCUGUGAGGGUUGCUGGAGGUAUCAGAAGUGCGAAUGCUGACAUAAGUAACGAUAAAGCGGGUGAAAAGCCCGCUCGCCGGAAGACCAAGGGUUCCUGUCCAACGUUAAUCGGGGCAGGGUGAGUCGACCCCUAAGGCGAGGCCGAAAGGCGUAGUCGAUGGGAAACAGGUUAAUAUUCCUGUACUUGGUGUUACUGCGAAGGGGGGACGGAGAAGGCUAUGUUAGCCGGGCGACGGUUGUCCCGGUUUAAGCAUGUAGGCUGGUUGUCCAGGCAAAUCCGGAUAAUCAAGGCUGAGGUGUGAUGACGAGGCACUACGGUGCUGAAGUAACAAAUGCCCUGCUUCCAGGAAAAGCCUCUAAGCAUCAGGUAACAUCAAAUCGUACCCCAAACCGACACAGGUGGUCAGGUAGAGAAUACCAAGGCGCUUGAGAGAACUCGGGUGAAGGAACUAGGCAAAAUGGUGCCGUAACUUCGGGAGAAGGCACGCUGGUGUGUAGGUGAAGUCCCUGCGGAUGGAGCUGAGACCAGUCGAAGAUACCAGCUGGCUGCAACUGUUUAUUAAAAACACAGCACUGUGCAAACACGAAAGUGGACGUAUACGGUGUGACGCCUGCCCGGUGCCGGAAGGUUAAUUGAUGGGGUUAUCCGUAAGGAGAAGCUCUUGAUCGAAGCCCCGGUAAACGGCGGCCGUAACUAUAACGGUCCUAAGGUAGCGAAAUUCCUUGUCGGGUAAGUUCCGACCUGCACGAAUGGCGUAAUGAUGGCCAGGCUGUCUCCACCCGAGACUCAGUGAAAUUGAACUCGCUGUGAAGAUGCAGUGUACCCGCGGCAAGACGGAAAGACCCCGUGAACCUUUACUAUAGCUUGACACUGAACAUUGAGCCUUGAUGUGUAGGAUAGGUGGGAGGCUUUGAAGCGUGGACGCCAGUCUGCGUGGAGCCAACCUUGAAAUACCACCCUUUAAUGUUUGAUGUUCUAACGUUGGCCCCUUACCGGGGUUGCGGACAGUGUCUGGUGGGUAGUUUGACUGGGGCGGUCUCCUCCCAAAGCGUAACGGAGGAGCACGAAGGUUAGCUAAUCCUGGUCGGACAUCAGGAGGUUAGUGCAAUGGCAUAAGCUAGCUUGACUGCGAGCGUGACGGCGCGAGCAGGUGCGAAAGCAGGUCAUAGUGAUCCGGUGGUUCUGAAUGGAAGGGCCAUCGCUCAACGGAUAAAAGGUACUCCGGGGAUAACAGGCUGAUACCGCCCAAGAGUUCAUAUCGACGGCGGUGUUUGGCACCUCGAUGUCGGCUCAUCACAUCCUGGGGCUGAAGUAGGUCCCAAGGGUAUGGCUGUUCGCCAUUUAAAGUGGUACGCGAGCUGGGUUUAGAACGUCGUGAGACAGUUCGGUCCCUAUCUGCCGUGGGCGCUGGAGAAUUGAGGGGGGCUGCUCCUAGUACGAGAGGACCGGAGUGGACGCAUCACUGGUGUUCGGGUUGUCAUGCCAAUGGCACUGCCCGGUAGCUAAAUGCGGAAGAGAUAAGUGCUGAAAGCAUCUAAGCACGAAACUUGCCCCGAGAUGAGUUCUCCCUGAGACUUUAAGUCUCCUGAAGGAACGUUAAAGACGAUGACGUUGAUAGGCCGGGUGUGUAAGCGCAGCGAUGCGUUGAGCUAACCGGUACUAAUGAACCGUGAGGCUUAACCUU
rnacentral:rRNA from 3 species